UGCUCCAUAGCGCAUCCGUCCUGGAACGGUGGGUGCGUGAAAGCUCCGGCGGCCUAGGAUAGCUCUGCGGCCUAUCAGGUUGUAGCGAGGGUAACGUCCUCGCUAGCCUACGACGGGUAUGGGUGUUGGGAGACAUCGCCCAGAGAUGGAUUCUGAGACACGAAUCCAGGUCCUACGGGACGCAGCAGGCGCGAAAACUGCACAAUGUGGGAAACCACGAUGCGGGAAACCCAAGUGCCAGCACUAUGUGUUGGCUGUCCUCAACUGUUCGUAAGUUGGGAAGAAAGUGCUGGGUAAGACGGGUGCCAGCCGCCGCGGUAAUACCCGCAGCACAAGUGGUGGUCAUUAUUAUUGGGCCUAAAGCGUCCGUAGCUGGCCUGUUAGAUGCCUGGGUAAAUCGAUGCGCUCAACGCAUCGAAUUCCGGGUAGACCGGCAGGCUCGAGACCGGGAGAGGUGUAGGGUACUCGGGGGGUAGGGGUAAAAUCCUGUAAUCCUCCGGGGACGACCAGUGGCGAAGGCGCUACACUAGAACGGCUCUGACAGUGAGGGACGAAGCCCUGGGGCGCAAACCGGAUUAGAUACCCGGGUAGUCCAGGGUGUAAACGCUGCGGACUUGGUGUCGGUGAUCCUACGAGGGUUGCCGGUGCCGGAGAGAAGUUGUUGAGUCCGCCGCC
rnacentral:rRNA from 1 species